GGGGAUAGAGCUCCGUGGGUAGAGCACAUGCCUCGAAUGCACAAGGCCCUGGGUUCGAUCCCCAGCACCA
rnacentral:tRNA from 1 species